rnacentral:rRNA from 1 species
AUGAACGCUGGCGGUGUGCCUAAUACAUGCAAGUCGAACGGGCUCUUCGGAGCUAGUGGCGGACGGGUGAGUAACACGUUGGUACCUACCCCUAAGUGGGGAAUAACUGCCCGAAAGGGUGGCUAAUACCGCAUAAUCCCGCAAGGGUAAAGCAGUAAUGCGCUUAGGGAGGGGCCUGCGUCUGAUUAGCUAGUUGGUAGUGUAAUAGACUACCAAGGCGACGAUCAGUAGCUGGAUCGAGAGGUUGACCAGCCACACUGGGACUGAGAUACGGCCCAGACUCCUACGGGAGGCAGCAGUAAGGAAUCUUCCACAAUGGACGAAAGUCUGAUGGAGCAACACCGCGUGCAGGAUGACGGUCUUCGGAUUGUAAACUGCUUUUAUAUGGGAAGAUUAUGACGGUACCAUAUGAAUAAGCACCGGCUAACUACGU